GUGCCUGAUAGGCCAGUGCUAGCGCCAUGGCUGCUGUUGUUAAUUGUGAGGUCAGUGGUGGCUCAGUGCCUGAGAGGCCAGUGCUAGGCCCAUGGCUGCUGUUUGUGGUUGUGAGGUCGCUUGUGUCUCAGUGCCUGAUAGGCCAGUGCUAGGUGCAUGGCUGCUGUUUGUGGUUGCGAGGUCACUUGUGGCUCAGUGCCUGAUAGGCCAUGCUAGGCCCAUGGCUGCUGUUUGUGGUUGUGAGGUCACUUUGGCUCGUUGCCUCACGUGCCAGUGCUGGGGAGAAUAGAGGGCUGUGAAGAGAGCAGGGUCUAAGCUUAGGGAAGUCUUUGUAGAGUUCGCGUGCUUUUUUUUAGCUUCCUUUCUUCUUGCAGUUGCUAAGGAGGAAAGUAWAAGGAUGCAUCAAAUAGGUACUGUCCUUACAAGACCAAGGAGACGGACAUGUACACACCCCUGCUUGGAGAGCGUUUUCAAAGAAUUUACAGGUUAGGGCCCAUAUUGUCAGUUUGUUUCCAAUAUUCCUCGACACCAGUGUCCUUAUUCCUUUCUCCCAGGCCCUUGGUUGAACCUAAAUGGUAAAGUCAGAGCGUAACCCUCUCAUGGAGGUGUGCACUGCUGUUGGAGAUGGAGGUAUCUAAGCAUACAUUCAUUUUUCCUCGCUUCUGCCUCCUGUCCGUCCGUAUUCCCUCGCUCUGGCUGCUUUAGAAAAUCCAAGCUUCCCCCAUUCAUUUCUGAACUGUGGAGAGAAAAUGGAUCUUCCUGUGUGAUCAAACUACUUCUGACCCCUGAAGUGUUUUUAUAAAGACAGGCUGAACAAGAGUCUCAUGGAUGGUGAGUGCUCUCCUGGAGCAGGAUAUGCUACUUUUUAAGAGCUGGUAUUGUUACCAUAGCCAGGUAUUUAAACUGUAGUUAUCUCUGAAUGUCACAUUGAGAAUGCUGAAGUGUUCUUUCUCUCUGCAGGAAAGCUGAUGUGUGCACGCUGUGACUGAAGACAAUUUGACUGAAA
rnacentral:lncRNA from 1 species